rnacentral:RNase_P_RNA from 1 species
GGAGAGGCGAGUCGAAGGGAGGAAAGUCCGAACUCCGCAGGGCAGUGCGCCGGGUAACGCCCGGUCAGGGUAACCUGAAGGAAAGUGGCACAGAAAAUACACAGCCAACGGCAGGCCGCAAGGCUUGCCGGGUCGAAGCCCGCAAGGGCCGAGGCUGGCAAUGGUGAAAAGGUGCGGUAAGAGCGCACCGCGCUCGUGGUAACACGGGUGGCAGGCAAAACCCCGCACGGAGCAAGGCCAAAUAGGGAAGCGAUUGAGGACGGCCCGUCCGAAGCUUCCGGGUAGGCUGCUUGAUCCCGCCAGUAAUGGCGGGGCUAGAGGAAUGAUCGUCGUCCGCCGUAGCGCGCCCGAGCCCCGUCAAGGGCAAAGGCGUGCGAAGGUGGAAACAGAAUUCGGCUUACGGUCCACUA